UACGUAGGGGGCAAGCGUUGUCCGGAUUUAUUGGGCGUAAAGAGCGUGUAGGCGGCCAAGCAGGUCCGCUGUGAAAACUCGAGGCUCAACCUCGAGACGUCGGUGGAAACCGUUUGGCUAGAGUCCGGAAGAGGAGAGUGGAAUUCCCGGUGUAGCGGUGAAAUGCGCAGAUAUCGGGAGGAACACCAAUUGCGAAGGCAGCUUGCUGGGACGUUACUGACGCUGAGACGCGAAAGCGUGGGGAGCAAACAGG
rnacentral:rRNA from 1 species